rnacentral:rRNA from 1 species
CGGUUGGGCUUCGGCCUGCCAGUGGCGGACGGGUGAGUAACGCGUAGGUAUCUGUCCUUGGGUGGGGGAUAACCACGGGAAACUGUGGCUAAUACCGCAUGACACCUGAGGGUCAAAGCUCGCAAGAGCGCCUGGGGAGGAGCCUGCGUCCGAUUAGCUUGUUGGUGGGGUAAUGGCCUACCAAGGCGACGAUCGGUAGCUGGUCUGAGAGGAUGAUCAGACACACUGGGACUGAGACACGGCCCAGACUCCUACGGGAGGCAGCAGUGGGGAAUAUUGGACAAUGGGCGCAAGCCUGAUCCAGCAAUGCCGCGUGGGUGAAGAAGGUCUUCGGAUUGUAAAGCCCUUUCGGCGGGGACGAUGAUGACGGUACCCGCAGAAGAAGCCCCGGCUAACUUCGUGCCAGCAGCCGCGGUAAUACGAAAGGGGCUAGCGUUGCUCGGAAUGACUGGGCGUAAAGGGCGCGUAGGCGGCUUGCACAGUCAGAUGUGAAAUUCCU